rnacentral:rRNA from 1 species
UACGAAGGGUGCAAGCGUUACUCGGAAUUACUGGGCGUAAAGCGUGCGUAGGUGGUUCGUUAAGUCUGAUGUGAAAGCCCUGGGCUCAACCUGGGAACGGCAUUGGAAACUGGCUUACUAGAGUGCGGUAGAGGGGUGUGGAAUUCCCGGUGUAGCAGUGAAAUGCGUAGAGAUCGGGAGGAACACCAGAGGCGAAAGCGGCGGCCUGGACAGGUACUGACACUCAACUGCGAAAGCGUGGGGAUCAAACAGG